GUAGUACUCCCUCCGUCCCAAAAUUCAUGUCUUAAGUUUAUCUAUAAAUGAAUGUAUCUAAAUACUAAAAUAUGACUAUAUACAUUCAUAUCUAGAUAAAUCUAAGACAAGAUUUUUGAGACGAAGGAAGUAUAAA
rfam:Hordeum vulgare subsp. vulgare, WGS project CAJW01000000 data, contig: morex_contig_432995